rnacentral:lncRNA from 1 species
GGGGGCUCCAGACCUGGAUGCAGUACUCCAAGUGGGUCUUCUCAAGGACAGAGUAGAGGGGGACAAUCACCUCCCUUGACCUGCUGGCCACUCCUCUUUUGAUUCAGCCCAGGAUGCAGCUGGCCUUCUAGGCUGCAAGAGCUCACUGCUGGCUCGUGUCCAGCUUUUCAUCCACCAGAACCCCCAAGUUCUUCUCUGCAGGGCUGCUCUCAAUGAAUUCUUUUCCCAGUCUGUUCUCAUGUCUGAGAUUGCCCCAACCCACAUACAGCACAUUGCACUUCAAUUGUUCAACUUUGUUAUCCAACCGAGGGUGCUGAGGGAGUUGGUGGAUGUGAUUGCCGAGCUGCUUUACAUCAUCUAUCAGCAGUCAUGGUCAUCCAGAGAGGUCCUGGAUGACUGUAGACUUGCUAAUGUGAUGCCUAUCUAUAAGAAGGGUCGUAAGGAAGACCUGGGGAACUACAGGUCUGUCAUCAUGACCUCAGGGCCAGGAAAGGUGAUGGGACAGGUCAUUUUGAAUGCAAUCACACAGCAUGUGCAGGACAAUCAGAGGAUCAGGUCCAGUCAGCAUAGGUUCACAAAAAGGAAGUCCUGCCUGACCAACCUCAUCUCCUUCUAUGACUGGGUGACCUGCAUGGUGGAUGAGGGAAAGGCUGUUCACGUAGUCUACUUAGACUUGAGCAAAGCCGUUGACACGGUCUUCCACAGUAUUCUCCUGGAAAAGCUGGCAGCCCAUGGCUUGGGCAGGUACACUCUUUGCUGGGUUAAAAAUUGGCUGGACGGCAAGGACCAGAGACUAGUGGCGGUGAAUAGAAUGAAACCCAGCUGGCGACCAGUCAUGAGUGGUGUUCCCCAGGGGUCAGUAUUGGGGCCCAUCAUCUUUAAUAUCUUCAUUGAUGAUUGGUACAAUGGAACUGAGUGCACCCUCACUAAGUUGUCACAUGACACCAAGUUGGGGGGAGGCAUCGAUCUGUGGGAGGGUAGAAGGCCCUGCAGAGGGACCUGGACAGGUUGAAUCGAUGGGCAGAGGCCAAUGAGAUGAGGUUCAACAUAGCUAAUUGCCAGGUCCUGCACUUUGGCCACAACAACCCCAUGCAACACUAUAGGCUUGGGGCACAGUAGCUCAAAAGCUGUGCAGAGGAAAAGGAU